rnacentral:rRNA from 1 species
GACGAACGCUGGCGGCGUGCUUAACACAUGCAAGUCGAACGGAAAGGCCCUGCUUUUGUGGGGUACUCGAGUGGCGAACGGGUGAGUAACACGUGAGUAACCUGCCCUUGACUUUGGGAUAACUUCAGGAAACUGGGGCUAAUACCGGAUAGGAGCUCCUGCUGCAUGGUGGGGGUUGGAAAGUUUCGGCGGUUGGGGAUGGACUCGCGGCUUAUCAGCUUGUUGGUGGGGUAGUGGCUUACCAAGGCUUUGACGGGUAGCCGGCCUGAGAGGGUGACCGGCCACAUUGGGACUGAGAUACGGCCCAGACUCCUACGGGAGGCAGCAGUGGGGAAUAUUGCACAAUGGGCGGAAGCCUGAUGCAGCAACGCCGCGUGCGGGAUGACGGCCUUCGGGUUGUAAACCGCUUUCGCCUGUGACGAAGCGUGAGUGGCGGUAAUGGGUAAAGAAGCACCGGCUAACUACGUG